CAACCCCUCCCUCUUCCUCUUCCUCUUCACACUUUACUUUCACUUUCUCUGACAUCGUGCUGCAGAUAGUUUUCUCCGUCUGAAGAUGAAGGUAGAAAGUGUGUGUGACUGAUGUGGAUGUGACUUCAGCAGCAUGGAUCAGAGUGAGGACAGAGAGGAGGGAGCCCCUCCCUCUAAAAGCUCUCUGUGUGGGGAACAUGACAGCCAGACCAAAGCUCAGAGAAGAACAAGGAGGCAGCACAGACCAGACUCUGCUGGACCUGGACCUGGACCUGGACCUGCACCUGGACCUGGACCUGGACCCGGACCCGGACCCGGACCUGGACCCAGCUGUGUGUCUAUGAAGAGUGAUC